AGCGGAAUAACGGUUUGAACCGAACCCUUACCAAAAGAUUUUUCCCCUAAAAUAACCGCCCUGUGAUGAUCUUGCAAAGCACCGGCCAAAAUUUCGGCGGCUGACGCCGAACCUUCAUUUAUCAUAACAACAAUCGGCAAAUUUUUCGCUAUAUCACCGGCUGUUGCGGAAAACUUAACCGUAUCUUCCUCAUUGCGAGAACGUGUGGAAACAAUCUCCCCUUGUUCCAAAAACAAAUCAGAAACUUUAACGGCCUGAUCUAACAAUCCACCCGGAUUAUUCCGA
rnacentral:ncRNA from 1 species